UACGGAGGGUGCGAGCGUUGUCCGGAAUCAUUGGGCGUAAAGGGCGCGUAGGUGGCGGGACAAGCGUGCGGUGAAAGCCUGGGCUCAACCCCGGGUCGGCCGUGCGAACUGUUUUGCUUGAGCACUGUAGAGGCAGGCGGAAUUCCCGGUGUAGCGGUGAAAUGCGCAGAUAUCGGGAAGAACACCCGGUGGCGAAGGCGGCUCUCUGGGACGGUACUGGACGCUGAGACGCGAAAGCGUGGGGAGCGAACAGG
rnacentral:rRNA from 1 species